GAUGAAGAACGCAACGAAAUGCGAUACGUAGUGUGAAUUGCAGAAUUCAGUGAAUCAUCGAAUCUUUGAACGCACAUUGCACCUCUCGGUAUUCCGGGAGGUAUGCCUGUUCGAGCGUCAUUUGUACCCUCAAGCUCUGCUUGGUGUUGGGUGUUUGUUCCGCCUCUGUGUGUGAACUCGCCUCAAAACAAUUGGCAGCCGGCGUACUUGUUUCGGAGCGCAGCACAUUUUGCGAUCCAGAUCAACGUACAGCGGCAUCCAAGAAGCCUUAUUUAACGCUCUUGACCUCGGAUCAGGUAGGGAUACCCGCUGAACUUAAGCAUAUCAAUAAGCGGAGGA
rnacentral:misc_RNA from 1 species